GUAUUUCAGCCUUCUAUGAGUUUGAUUAGUAUAAAUAAAUUCCCGAGACAGAACAUGUAACCCUGAUACUUGGCAGCCAGACAGCCAGGGUCUUCUGGUGUCAAAAAUUGGAAAUGAUAAACCCCAGAGGAGGGGGGCAGGCUCCCAUCAAGAUGAACAUUCCAGUGGAGAAGCCAGUGGCAGGCCCACCCAUCACCUGACAUCAUCCCUGUGAAUCAGGCACCAUCCUGUUGCCUGAGAAGCCACAAGUCUCAUUUGGCAAGAGUAUGGAUCCACAGCCGCAUUCAACUUUUCUAUAGUGUCUCUUGUGCCAAAGAUCCAAAGCUUCCUUGACGAAUUGUUUGAAGUGUGGCAUCCUCUCAGCCCCAAUCUUGCUCUGAAGCUCUGGGUACUGGAUAAUUAGAGACAAACCAAGAAUUUCUUAAAGAAGGAAUGAGACAAGCCAGCCAACGAGCCAAGAGAAAUUUCUGUUGUCACUUUCUUUCAGUGUGAUUUCCCCAGCAGCUGCUCUUUCCACAGCCUCAGCAGGAAGGUUGUGGCUGAGCAGAGAGCACAGCGGCCUCUGGGCCUGGGGCAGCAGCCAUGGUGUCCAGCUCUGAGUCUGCGGAGGCUUUUGUUCAAUUAUUGAUGUCUGGGGAAGGAAGCCUGGGCUGACUAUGCUGAGAUGGCUGCCGAGACCCAAAUGAAGCGGGGAAAGCUCCAGGAAGGGAGAAGAGGGGGCCUAGUGAGGUCAGUCCAUGUUUAUUGACGUGAAAACAUGUCCAGGAGAGAUUGAACUUUUAACUCUUGGAUCAGAAAGGCAUGCCCAGGACUGGUGUUCAUGUGAGCAGAGGAGGACAGUAUGAACUGAAAGACACCAAGUAAGUACGUUCCCUUCUUAUUCCCUCCCAUCAGCCAGCACUUUGGCAAAUGAGCUUUCCUACUGCCAAUAUAACUGCCUAAAAUCCUAUACUUAAAAAUUAAUUCCUUUGAGUCACUCCCUAAUCAUUUCAUUCAUUCUACAUGGUAACUGAGC
rnacentral:lncRNA from 1 species